rnacentral:lncRNA from 1 species
AGGAAAUGCAGUUACUCCGAGGACAAUUCAGCUUACCUAGAUGAGGAGAAAUUCGAAGUAUUCCAACGUCUGCCCUCAUGAAUAGAUCAAGCCUUGGGGGAAACCAGUGAUCUCUUGGCAACAGGACCAGAAGGUGGCAAGAAGAAAAGUUUAAGAAUUUCAAGUGGCUUGAUUGGACUCUUCUUCAUGGUCGCUGAGUCAAGGACCUUCUCUUCUAGUGAAUUUAAGGGUUUUGUGGAACACUAGUCUUUCUUUAUGAACUCUGUCCUCUUUCUCAUACAAUUUAUCUUUUCCACAUAUGGAUGGAAUAAAACUGCAGAAAAUAUAAUGAAAUGGAUAACCAUAUAUUUUUUAAAAUAGAAAUUUUUGAGUACUGACAUUCAAGGUUUUAAUUCUAGAUUUAAAAAUACAUUUUAUUUACACACUCAUCAGUUAAUGGAUGCUUGAAUUAUUUUCACUUUCAGUCUAUUAUGAAUAAUGCUGCUAUGAACGUUAAUGUAUAAGUAUUUGUGUGAACAAAUAGAACAGACAUGGUCAGUUCUCUUGUGUAUAUUCCUACAAGUAGAAUUUCUGGGUCUUAUGGCAGCUCUAUGUUUGAUUUUAUGCAGAAUUUCUAAACUGUUUUUCAAAGAAACUGUUUUACAUUCUGAGAAGCAAUGUAUGAGAGUUCUAAUUCUUUUACAUCCUCAACAACACUUGUUAUUAUCUGUCUUUUUUAUUAUAGUUAUUCUGGUAUUUGUGAAGUUUCAUCUCAUUAUGAUUGUGAUUUGCAUUUCCCUAAUGGCUAAUAACAGUCAGCAUAUUUUCAUGUGCCUAUUGGCCAUUUGUAUAUCUUCCUUGGCAUAAAGUCUUUCAAAUUACUUGCUCAUUUUUUAAUUGAGUUAUUUGUCUUUUGAUUUUUUAGUUGUAACAGUUCUUUAUAUAGUAUGCAUAAGUCCUUAUCAGAUACACAAUGUGAAAAUAUUUUGGUUCCUGCUAUACAUUGGUUUUCCCCUUUAUAAGUGGUGUAUUUUGUAGAUCAAAAGCCUUUAAUUUUAAUGAAGUCCAGUUUAACAAUAUUUUUCUCGUGUUGCUUGUGUUUUAAGUGUCUUAUUGUUUGUUAAGUGUCAUAGGUUUUUUAAUAUGAAUGAG